rnacentral:tRNA from 1 species
GGAUGGGUGGCCGAGCGGUUUAAGGCAGCGGUCUUGAAAACCGCCGGGCGUGCAAGCGUCCCGUGGGUUCGAAUCCCACCCCAUCCG